CCUGGAUUGGACAAUCAAGGCAUUUGUACGUCACUUGCUUAUGGUCCCUUAAGCGAUGACAUUCUUGCUUCAUAUCGUCCCAAAUACGAUACAUCCAUUGCAACAGUUAAUUUGCCAUCCUCAAAUCAAGGGUCAUCUAGUGUUCCCGGACAAGGAAUACUGGGAUCUCAAGUUCUUGUCAAGAGAGUAGCUGACAGCUUUUAUCAUAAAUUGGGAUCAACAUCUGCACACUUAAGUUAUGUUCAAAUGGUAAAGUCUGCUA
rnacentral:misc_RNA from 1 species